GAUGAAGAACGUAGCGAAAUGCGAUAAGUAAUGUGAAUUGCAGAAUUCAGUGAAUCAUCGAAUCUUUGAACGCACCUUGCACUCCUUGGUAUUCCGAGGAGUACGCCUGUUCGAGUGUUAUGAAGCUCUCAAAACGCAAUUGGCUUAAAACCUGAUUGUUGUUUUGGAUUUGAACUUUGCCGUGUUAUAACGGCUGGUGUUAAAAGUAUUAGCUGGUACUAGAACGAAUUGGUUCUACUCAACGUGAUAAUUAUCUGAUCGUUGAGGACAUUCCUUUCACGAGGAAUGGCCAUAGUAAAUUCAAUGGACUGCUUCUAAUCUGGCUUUAAUUCUUUAUUGGAUUAACCACUUUUCAAAUCUGACCUCGAAUCAGGUGGGACUACCCGCUGAACUUAAGCAUAUCAAUAAGCGGAGGA
rnacentral:misc_RNA from 1 species